AGCGAACGCUGGCGGCAGGCUUAACACAUGCAAGUCGAGCGGGCAUAGCAAUAUGUCAGCGGCAGACGGAUGAGUAACGCGUGGGAACGUACCUUUUGGUUCGGAACAACUGAGGGAAACUUCAGCUAAUACCGGAUAAGCCCUUACGGGGAAAGAUUUAUCGCCGAAAGAUCGGCCCGCGUCUGAUUAGCUAGUUGGUGAGGUAAUGGCUCACCAAGGCGACGAUCAGUAGCUGGUCUGAGAGGAUGAUCAGCCACAUUGGGACUGAGACACGGCCCAAACUCCUACGGGAGACAGCAGUGGGGAAUAUUGGACAAUGGGCGCAAGCCUGAUCCAGCCAUGCCGCGUGAGUGAUGAAGGCCCUAGGGUUGUAAAGCUCUUUUGUGCGGGAAGAUAAUGACGGUACCGCAAGAAUAAGCCCCGGCUAACUUCGUGCCAGCAGCCGCCGUAAAAC
rnacentral:rRNA from 1 species